GAACACAAUAUAUACCUACCCACAUACACACAAUAAAGAGGAUGAACAGUGAAUAGUAAUAAAAAAAAAGCAUCAGCUCUCUUUUUCUCUCUAUAAACUCACACUCUCUCUCCUCCAAUAGCUUCGCCGGCGCCGGAGAAGACCACCAACCGGCCAGCUCCCUUCCUCCUUUUCCCCGUCGCCCAACAAACCAACCAACUCCGGCGACACCACCGUCAAACCCGCCUAGAUCUGCGGCGAACAGUCAACUCCGGUGAAGACGCCGCCGUCGUUUCAACCAUAACAAUGUCGGCGCUACCGUCUCCCUCGGUUCCGAUCUCUCUUCUCUCUCCCCAAUAAAUCUGCCAACACCAGCAGUUGUUGCUCACCCGUCCAACAAAACAGCCGGCGAACCGGCGGUGCCAUCGGAGAACAGGUGUUGCCGCCGUCUCUCCGUCACCAGAACUCCCCGAAGCCCGAUAUGCGUUGGGUUUUGGUUUCCUGCUGUUUGAUGGUUGAUCUUGGUUUUGCUUAUUUCUUGAUUCGUCGUCGAUAGUGGAUCUCGAGUCGUCUUUAUCGAAUCGUGUAGUCAUUCUCGGUUGUGGGUUUCGUAUAGUGUAGUUUUUUCUUCACUGGUUUUGGAGCUGUCCGGUUAUUAUUUUAAUACCGAGUUUGGUUUGUUCAUUGUGAGGUUCUCCGAUCGAGUAUUUUGGUCUUCGGAUUUCUUUAUUAUCGAGAAAAGCAAGUGUCAGUGAGGUUCAUUUCUUUAACCCGCUCUCUUUUAUUUAUCUUGAUAUAUUGAAUUGGUUGUGAUUAUGUUUUGUUGGACUUUGUUGGUGUCGAUUGUUAUGAUCCUGAUGUUUGGUGGGUCGAUUUUUGGUGGUUUGAAGAUUGAAUUUGAUCAUGUUUUAAUGGAUUGAUAAGGGGAUUUAGGGAAGGAAUGGCGAAAUUGAUAAAAAGUUGAACGUAGAUUGAUGUUGGUUUGUUGUCUUUUGUUCCAUUCCGUAUAAGUGAAUGUGAUAGAUUUAUGCCAUAAUGAAAUGGAUAGGCAAUAUAGGUUCGGGUAGGCAAGAAUUUAAGAUUGAUGUUUUGGUUGGAUGUUGGAAUGUGUGUGUGAAUGUUUCUUUCUAGUUUAUCAUAUUUAAUUCAAUUGUAUAAUUUGGCCGGGGAAUUCCCCGAAGUAUCUGUAUAUAUUUAUUCACCGGGGAAUGCCCCGAGGUAUCAUGUACCCGGGGGAUGUUUGUGGUGAAGGCCCGAGGCGUCGGGUAGAGCAUUAGUUUAGGAUUAGCGUAGGUUUACUUUCGGUCCCUUUCUAUUUCGGGUUGUAAUAAUUGGACUGGACUUUACAUUUCGG
rnacentral:lncRNA from 1 species